UACAGAGGGUGCAAGCGUUGUUCGGAAUUAUUGGGCGUAAAGCGCGUGUAGGCGGCUUUGCAAGUCGGGUGUGAAAGCCCUCAGCUCAACUGAGGAAGUGCGCCCGAAACUGCAGAGCUUGAGUGCCGGAGAGGGUGGCGGAAUUCCCCAAGUAGAGGUGAAAAUUCGUAGAUAUGGGGAGGAACACCGGUGGCGAAGGCGGCCACCUGGACGGCAACUGACGCUGAGACGCGAAAGCGUGGGGAGCGAACAGG
rnacentral:rRNA from 1 species